ACCUGCAAGUGGUGCAAGUACUGGUGAAUUGGAUACCAUCCAUGAGCGUUACAUGACCUGCCUGCGUGUCUACACUCAGCACAUGUAUCCCCAACAAGCGACCAGAUUUCAAGACUUACUAGUUAGAUUACCAGAGAUACAGUCUGCAGCAUCCUUACUUUUAGAAAGUAAGAUGUUCUACGUUCCUUUUUUACUAAAUUCCGCGAUUCAACGGUAGUAGUGCGCCUCUGCUGCUGCGUUUUAGGUGAAUUAAUUCGAAACUGAUGAAAAAAGACCGUAAACGUCGAUAAUGUACAUAAAUAAAAAAAUCGUUUAUAACUAUUUCAGAUGGGAAAAAACUGCCGGAUAUAUGUAUGUUAUGAAAAUAUUUUUUUCUAUUCGUAUCGAUGUUCGAUUCUAAUCAGUAUAUGACCCUUGUUGUCAUUUCAUGCUAGCAUCUCCUGCGGCUGUAGAUUUCCUGCCACACUCCACCUGUGUUGUUUUGAGCGGUUUUAUGGUGGGAAAUUUACGUUCCGAUCAUUUAGUGUAAGUGGGCGCUCGCAAUUGGACCCAUUUGUAAAGACUUGCAUUCUCAUGCACUUGACUUACCCUAGUUUAACUUUGAAGAAUUUUUCGUUUUCCCCACGCAAUUCCGAUUAAACUUUACCGAGUUAUCAAAUCAGGGUGGCCAAGAAUCCCGAUUGUUGGCUCAGCAAUAGUACUUUGUAUAAUGCAUUAAAAAACCCCGCGUAUCAGACAUCUGAAUCCAUGAAGUACAAAAGCGCAUUGCCAGUCGAUUUUAAUCGGCAUCUAUGAAUAUUUUCAUUGAGUUUUCUUGGCGAGAAAAAUUCUUCAAAGGUGUUGGUUUUGAGCAAGGUCUCCCUUUGAAAGCCCGGUUGUAUUCUUAAACUGUUUCCGUUUCGCAAGGAGUCAAUAGAAGCUUGCCUAAAUGACUUACCGGCAAGACCCUGCUCGAUUGCGAACUCUCGCAUUAAGCUGGGUAAAAAAAUAAGGAAAUUCCUUUUGACGCGAAGGUUAUCUGCGGAUUUCCGUUACAUAAGUCUGAGUAAGUUGCCUUGUUUAUGUGAGAAAUGGCAUUGUAGUCGGCUAGCUUACCAUUUUUUACGAUUAAGUUACAUCACACAAUGUCCAGCUUUCGCGCCUCAUCCAAUCAAUAUUAAAUUACUCAAACACUGCCACACUCAAAGUCUGAUUUUCACCGUUCACUGCCCCAAUCUCUGACUAGUUGAUUCUAUACCCAGAAAUCGAAAGAAAUCUCAUUGUAAAGCUACAAUGCCAUUGGUCUUACAUCGAAAAUUACCUUAUAAGCAUAUAUAUUUA
rnacentral:lncRNA from 1 species